AGCGAGAAGACUGCAGGCUUUCUCCACCGCGUGGCAUCAUCAGGGGGAUAAACCAUGAGCCUGGUCUAAUGAGCAAUGAAACACUUCGUAAAUAUUUGAUUCAAGGGGACGCGAAUAGUAAAAUAACGUGGAGCUGACGUCUGCAAUGACUUUUGAACUUUCCUCCUAACUACAGGCACAUGUGUUUUACACAUCAGCUGUGUUCCUGAAAAGUCGGGUUUCAAUCCAUAUGCUAAGUGGAAUUAUGUUUCAGAUGUUCUAGGGAUACUCCUGACUUGGGGAAACCAGGAAUCAGUGAACAGGCUACGGACAAAGCCUCGCCCACGACCGCUUCGUCUCUGCUCAGUUUGGACGGCCCCCUCUGCCCCCGGCCGAGGCCGAGCCUUUGAGGAUGCAGAGUCAGCACCGGCAGCCGUUCAUUUCAUCGCUGGGUCUGCGGAGGAAAGGGCUGGUCCUAGGGAAGGGUCAAGGGCAGGCUGUUUUGUUUUCUAGCAGCAAAACAGAGAAGGCUGGAGGAAACCACCCAAGCGCCAAGCUCUGCAGAGGGCAAGUGAAGUCGGAGUUUAAAAACAAAAGUGGAGGAGCCCAUCUCCUUGAAGCUGUUUAUAUUACAUAACUCAAAUAAACACAGCAGCGCAGGCAUGGUUCCCUCGGUGAGGGCCAGGACCACAGAGCCCAGAGGCGGACAAAGGGCACCUCCUCCAGCCUCUGGCUAGAAAUGGCUCCUUUAAAACAACAACAGCAGCAUUAAUAAUAUUCGGGGACACACCAGGACAAUUCAGGAGGACAGCCUGAAUAAACUGAGGAGAGGACUCAUGCUAAUUAGGACUUGUAAGGUGACUUUCUUUUCUCUUGCUAAGGAAAGAAAUCCUCAUCAGAGCAAUGGGGAGAAGCAAAGUUGACCCCAAACGGCUAUUUGCAUUUUGCAAAGGGGGGACAAGAGGCACUCGAUCCUGCCGUGAAAUCCUGCAGGAGCACGGAGGCCACUUUCUCAGGCACCUGGGGGGGCAGCUGGCUUUCUGACUUCAGCCCGGGGUGAUGGGAAGCAUCGGGCAGUUUUACGGAAUCUGCCUGAAGAAUAAAGAACAUGAAAGAAAAGUUAGCCACUCAGUAAAUGGACACAGACCUACAGGCCCGGCGUCUGAACGAAAUCAGAGAGUCUUGAAAUUGAGAGCAGGCAAGAACCGACUGCAACCUUUUUCGUCAGUCGCCUGCAGUGUCCCAGGACAGCAACCCUACCGUAUGCCAGGGGACAAGAAUAGAAAGAAAAAUUGAGAACACAGCCCUGAGCACGGGCUGGCGGUAUCGGUUGCCAGCAGUUGCCCCAUUAGUAGGCUAUGGGGACAUGCGAGGGAAUUUUUCUGUACGAGGCUUGUGUUUAAAAAUAUAUCUUGCUUCAACGCUGGUGCGGGAGUGGCUGGGGAAUGAGAGCCUGCUUUCUCCGCGCAGAGCAGUUUGCUCAUCCUUCUGUGAUUUACUGCACGGCACUCACCUCUCUGAGGCCGCCCCUCAUAUGCCACAUGACAGUGACCAAGACCUCAACCUGGCUCUUAGAAAGCUAACACGUAGGACGAUUCCUGGACGAAAGCCACGCUCCAGAAACAUCCUCCCCAGUGGCUUGCUGGAAGCACACGGGGCUGGGGAUGGAGGCUGAGAGGAAUGCUUCCCCACCAAGGCCUCUCUGACCCUUCUCACUCCAUGGAUGUGUCCCCGGGGAUGCUUCCCUCCCCAUGUCCUUAUUCUCAAAAGGAGGACACCAGUUCCUACCUACCUCUUAAGGGCGUUCAGGUGUAAUAGCUGAUGGAAAUGACUUAAAAGCCCUUGGCAAAUACAAAGUUCGAGAUCGAGUGCUGAAUGGUGGCCUCCCUCACCUACCCUACCUAAGGCAUUACUUAUGUGCCCCCACCUUUAAACCCUUUGCUGAAAGACUGCUCCGUGGGGUGUGAAGCUGGUCUGUGCCGAAGAAAUCUCAGGUUCCUCCAGAGAAGUUUGCCUUUGCAGGAACUGCUGAAAUCCUUACACGUCCAAACGCAUAUUCUGGGUAGGAAACAACAGGUGAUGAGCUGCCAUGGCUGAGAGGCUGCCAGGAUCCACCCAUGGGCACCCAGGGUUUGGCACCCGUUUCCCAGGGAGAGAUGAAAGGGAACAAAUCAACACGGCAGGGUCAAGUUCAAGUCUGCCUCAAUGAAACUCCGGAGACCUCCUUCUUGAAAAACAACUGGGACAGUAUGACAGCUGUUUAAGGGUGCCAAAGAAAAGUGUCCCCGGGGAAAGCUCCCCAGGGAAUGCUCUGUUUGCAAGAGGCAGUUGUGAGUGACACACAAGACAGACAGCCAGGAGCGGGGACAGUGCGGCCCCUAUGAACUCUCCAACGUCCCUGGGAUCGGGACCACCCACCAGAUGUGAAGGCUUGUAUUUCGUGCCGAGGAUGAUGGCAGUGAUAGCCGUGCUGAUGACUGCUGUUCUUCGGUGCCUGUUAGAAACUGGAUUGCUCUAAAGCCAUGGCUCCUGGAGGGGUCCUUCCUGGGAAGCGUUUACCACUUUGGACGCCUCACAGCUCCUGUGGUUGUUUCCUCUGAGGGUCUUUAUCAACCAGACACAAAUCAGGUUUUAUGGUUGCCCGUUAUUUGCGGCUACUUCACUUUUUUAAUUCUUAAUUUUUGGCCACGAGGCUUGUGGGAUCUUCGUUCCCUGACCAAGGAUCGAACCCACACCCGCUGCAGUAGAAGUGCUGAGUCCUAACUACUGGACCACCAGGGAACUCCCUGCGGCUACUUUAUAAUCUGGCCAGUGCUUCCCCGUGGCAAAUGGGUGAUGGGACAUCAAGACAAGAGGAUGGGGACGACGUGUCCAUCCAGAGAUGCUACACCCUGGAGGUGAAGGCGGACUACACGACGGUCCCCGUUUGUGUGGGAGCUGCCACCUCUGAAGCAGGCUGGGUGGAUGUGUCUCAUGGGAAGCACUGGACUUGGGUCCCAAAGACUUGGCUCUGACUCCUGGACCGACCACUUCCUAGCAGUAUGGAGUGGGGCACAUUAGUGAACCUUUCUGAGUCUCAGUGGUCUCACCUGUAAACUGGAGCUGAGACCUCCCUGUCAGGGCAGUUAGGGAGUUCCAAGGAAGCACCUCACUCCCAGAGACACAAUAAACAUUAGCUGAAACAGCAAACUCUGAUUCGGUAUAUGGGCGUGACCUCACCUCCAAGGGCGUUAAACUCAGUCACCUAGUAGGUAGGGUGUCCUCCUGUCUCACCCCCAAGAGCAGGGGCACAGAGCCCGGAAGUCAGCCUGCCACCUCCCCACCAAGAGCUGGUGACGGAGCCCAGGCCGAGCCGGAGCUGCGCGUCCCCGGUGAUCCAGAGCGCCUGCCACCACGCGGUUGUGAGCUUUUCCAGAGCACGCGGCUUGGACCAUUUGCCCGAGCUCCAUCGCUCCCGGCUACUCGGGGGGCAUCUCUUUCCUCCAGGCCCCUAGGGCACCACUCUGGGAACUGAAGCCCCAGAAAAAGUGCAAAGAGAAGGAAGCUCAGCGUUAUAUUCUUUCUAGAUGAAUCUCCAGGACGCAGCCGCCCCGGGAGAGUCCCCGACCGGCAGCAAACCUGUCUGUGUCCCCCCAGCUCCAUCUGCCUCUUGACUGACCUGGUGCUUCCCCACGUGGCCCUGCAUGGUGUCUUAUGUUCUCCCCAAGGAACCGCUGAAGAGGAGUGUCGCAUGCAUGUGCGGGUGUGGGAGAAGGGCCAGUUGAAGGCACUGUUGCUGUGGGCUUUUUGAAACUCUCCAAGUCCCUCACACGCCCAUGGUCGCUAUCACCCAGGCAGGACUGCUUGACAGAGCACGUGAUAGAGUGGAACUUAAUGAAGGGAUCCUAGAUGCUAGAGGGCGGAAAACAAGCCCUUCUCUUGUCUUCACGAUACCUUCCAGUGUCAGGACACAGGGUCACUGGAUGGAGCUCAGGACAAAGAAAUGGAAAUAAACCACCGCUGGAGGUGCCGCUUCCCCGUUUCCGACGGCCAGUCAGACUAUCUGCCUGGCUUCGGCUGCGGGUCCUGAGUUAAACGUUACAGCUGAUGGGCUGGGUGAAUCCAUGAUCAAUAGUGAUGCUGGUUCUUACAGGAGCUAAGAUAAGGGUAAUUAAAUCCUGUGCUUCGGGCCAUAUAAACUGAUCUCUGCAGGAGGGCGAGAAUUAAUUUAAUUUCACAUGCACAGCCCUGUCCGGCGCCUCCACCAGCUUUGUAUGAUAGACCCAGCGCGUGGCAGAGACGGUAGAGGGAAGGCGGAAAGAUUCGUUCCGAGCUCGAGGUGUUAUUAACCACCACACACAUCAAGAGCCUGAACUUGAUGGGGCCCAAGGCUGAUCUAGGGGGGCAAAUCCAGAGAUUCUUCCAGCUUCUCCCUCUAUUGGGUUUAUUACACACAAUCUGUACCGGGACUGUUUUCACACUUAAUGGCAAUCCUGAAUCACUAUCUACUUCCCAUUUUCGCCUGCAAAACAGCAACCCAGAGCUAGUGUUCCGCCAUAAACACUCGGCCCCAUAAAGCCACGGCUGUAUAGACUUGCCUUUUUGUGCGUCUGUGUCUGAUUCACUGGCGCUUUGGCAGCCUUCCAGGAUCUAGGAGAGGGAAAAAACCAUCCUGAGCAUCCCAACAGCCUCAUUUUGAUCUGUGAUACUGAGCAACUCAUUUCCACUUCACAGGCUCUGCUGAGCUGUGCUACAGAAAGACAAAUCCCAGCCGAAGAAAGGGGGGGGCGGGAGGAUGGUGGAGGAGACAGAGGGAGGGGAGGGGAGAGCAGAAAAAGGCCGCAUCUAUUAAGCUGUUUUUCUUUUGGUGAAAAGAAGCAUUUAUCAGUGAUUUCAUAUAUCAUGUGAGAGGUGGCUUCCUGCCAAUUUCCAAGAAUCCAAACAGCCCACUGACAUCAGAUGCUAAAUAUAGCUCAGCCUUUGCUUUAGGUGAAUAAAUAAUGCUGCUGGAAAGGAA